UGAGUAACACGUAUCCAACCUGCCGUCUACUCUUGGACAGCCUUCUGAAGGGAAGAUUAAUACAAGAUGGCAUCAUGAGUCCGCAUGUUCACAUGAUUAAAGGUAUUUCCGGUAGACGAUGGGGAUGCGUUCCAUUAGAUAGUAGGCGGGGUAACGGCCCACCUAGUCUACGAUGGAUAGGGGUUCUGAGAGGAAGGUCCCCCACAUUGGAACUGAGACACGGUCCAA
rnacentral:rRNA from 1 species